CCCCACCCCGCCUCCCUCCGCGGCUCUCGCAGCCGGCUCCGCUCCCGGCUCGGCUGCGCAUCGCGGGAGCGCUCUGACAGCACCUGCAGGACAGCGCGGGCACUCGGAGCCGGGAAGGGGAAUAAGGAACAACGAGAUGAAUCUUUCUGAUGAUAGAUAUUCUGUGCUGGCAUUUCUGAGCAUCAGGAACAAAAGAAAAAGUCUGCAGAAUACUUUGACAUCAACAGCUGCACAGGUCUCAUUUCACAAACCACAGCUUACUCUGUACCUGCAGCAGAACUGGGCUCGAGGCAGCCAGAAGACACUGUUUCAACAUCCAGAUGUUUCAGCUUCUGCUGUAAUUCCACUUACUUUCAUACAGAGAUUCAAGAGGAUGACCGAGAGAGAGCAAAGGGUUUCUACUCUUUUUUAUAUAAUUUUGUUUUGUAAUAUAUAUGUGUAUGAGCACUGUAUGGGUAAAUAUAUACCUGUAAGUAUGUACAUCUCUUUGUUUAAAUAACAUGUGGUUUCCUUUGCUGUUCGUGACCAACAUCAAUUGCUGUGCUGCCUUUGUAAAUAUGCUGCAAUGGCUGAUUCUUUUGAAUUCUUUGUGCUAUCUUUGCUUAUGCUGAAUAGCAGCUGACACUUUAAUUGGGAUGACUGAGCUGAGUGCAUUCGCCUUUGGAAUUGGACACUUUUCAGUGUGAAGAGAGGGUACCAGAGACUGACUCUUCUGUCUUUAUCCUCAAUCAAAGCUCCAUUAAAUCAGACCUACAGUUUGUAGCAAGGGACAUUCUCCAUUGCAUUGAAACACAUGGGAAAGGCUGGAGACUCAGUUUUGGAGGUUAAUUAGAUCCUGAAAAGAAGAAUUAACUGAAUUUGUUCCCCGUAUCUUUUUUUUCCCCCUAUUUUUAAGAAUCUUCUCAAUUACUUUCAUCUCUGUUGGUGAUGACCACUUUUCUCUUUAUAGGAAAAAUAUCAUGUACUUUUCAGUUUAUUAGAAACCUUUUUAUUAGAAAGAUUCUAAUUCUCAUUUUAAACAAAAAGGAAUGUAGUGCUGGCACAUUGUGUUAAAAUUUAGGCAUCAGAACUUACUCUAUAUUAAUAUGAGCUAAUCUUUAGCUAAUCUUUAUUUUUGUUUAACUGAGUGCUAACAUAAAGAAUGGAAUGUGUUGUAGGAGGGAGACAUCAUCUUGUUCUUUUACCCAAUUUUAGUUGAAUUGAUUUUGCAGAGGAGUAAAGUUGUAUUUUUAGUCCUCCUCCCCAUUCCAGGUUUCCUUGUGUUACGUUCACCUCCAGCCCUUUCCCAGACAUCCCUUCAGAAAGGACUGUGUGUUCAGUUCUCUUAACCCUUAGCAAGAAUCCAGGCAAGUGGUGGUUUGAGCAAGUUCAGGAAAGGCACUGUAACUUCAGCAGUGAUAAUAUGGCUCUUCUCAUUCGAAUGGUGUUCCUUGCUCCAUGUUAGAUUAAAGCAAUUUUCUCUGACUUUACUCUUUCUGUACAACACACUUCAGUCAUGAAGGAGUGAUGUUCUCGAUGGAUUGGAAGAUUUUCUUCUUGAUCCUUUUUUUCUGUUCUUAUGAUCUCAGCUCUAGUUUUAGAUCUGUUGUACUGAAUGUAAAAUGCCUGGAAAAACGCAGGACUGGACAGAGGCUGACAAGACAGACUUCCAAUCAAUCGUGCUACCAAAAAAAUUAAAAAAAAAAAUUAGUCAAAGUGGAAGAAGCACAGAGGAGGGACUGCAAAAGAAAAAUAGGGUAAACUCCAUUUUUAGAGCAUGGUUUGGUGAUCCCAGGGUUCUCAGAAGUAACCAAAUGCUGGAACUGAAAGCUGUGUCCAUGUAAAACAGUGCUGAAGCUAAUUGUCCUGGUGUGAUGCUGAGGUGAGGUGAUAUCUUACGAUGUUUAUGAACGAGUGCCUGCUGCAGUUUGCUUUGUUUCUUGGAAUAGAUUGAGGCUGAUAUGGCAGCAGGGCAGCCACAGCUUGUUCUCUCCUUCCUGUAUAUUGGGUGUUGAAAAGCAAGAGAUACCAAUGCUUCUGUAGCUCUGCCCCUCUGUCCCCAGAGGCAGUGUGAGCCUGUCUUCUGCCAGGACCAAGACCCAUGCACUCCCCUGUUGCAGACCAGUGUGGUGAUUCCCAGCUGGGCAAAGGCAAGCAAGCAGGAGCUACUGUAAGAACACAAGUGCCUGCAUUUUUCCUGGUGUUCUGGUGCUCUGUGUACAUGACCACACAUUGGUUUCAGCGCUAAUGACCAACCUGAGGUGCUGAAGGAAUACAGUCCCACAGUCAAUCAGACUUAGCUUCAGAAAUUAUUGGGGCCAUUACUAGAUCUUGGAGUUUUAUUUUUCCAUUCUAGCUGUGUUUCAUUCACACUUAGGCAUUUCACACCUGCUGUCAUCUAAGAGUUCCUCAGCACAGCCCCAUUUCACACAUCCUCAGGCAUCCAGGAACAUCUGGAAAGUGACUGAUUUCGUCCAGCUUACAGCACAUUCUCAAGUCUUGGCAUUCUUGCUUUCAUAGCUCUGGGGUUUUGCAAUGUAAAAUCAAACAGGAAUCAGUUGACAUCAACAGGUACAAACAGAUUAACUGGAGGUACAAAACAGGGAGGUGGGGGUAUUGGAUUCCCCCUGUGCUUUGAAACUGCUGGCAAAACAAAGUCCAGGCUUACUUGACUCUGAACCCAGUACUACAGCUGGUAUCUGUGCAGUGCCCAGGAACCUUGACUAUGGCUCAGAAGCCCCUUGCUCUGGAUAAAAGAAAACAUAAAACAAGGUGGUCAUUGCCCCAGGUGUAGCUACUGUGUGGGACAGAGACUGCUGGAUGCCAUCAGUAUCAAAGCAGCCUACAGGGAACACAGAACCCAUCACCUCUGAAAGAUAUACUUGGUUUUGCUGAUGUUAGAAAACAAGUUGUUUGGAUUCCAUACAAGGGAGCAUCUGAUGAUGAGUUGCUUUUAUACAGAGAAAGUCAAGAUGCUUUAUGUAAUUGCUUAGUGUCAGAACAAAGCUGUAUUAACAGAGCUUAGCAAGUUACGGACCUAAAGCCAUCCUUUUUUGGCACCUUCUGAAAGCAGAAUAUAACUUUGCUCACGGUCAAAGUGCUGUCUGAGCAGAGGAGCUGAGGCAGGCAGACAAGUACCAUGGCCAGGUUCAUCUAAUGUUUGUUGAGGUCAAACCUCCUGGAAGGCAGUGCAACGGAGGUGCUCUGUCCUGAGGUUCUGAGGCUGUCACCUGCUAAUUGGAUAGACUGUCUCUGCCUUAGUGCUGAUCAGAGUUAAUGCCCAGGAUCAAAAGAUAGCUCAAUGAAGAUAAAUUUGCAGCAUGAGAGAAUUCAUCAUGUAUUUAAAGUUACUGAAAUGGGGAAUAAGCAAAGCACUGAUAUUAUGGAGGUGUGCAUAAGAAUGUAGCGAGGCAAGAUCCUGAGGCACUCACUGAAUCUGAACAGCUUACCAUAGAAUUUAAAGGACAUUAAGGAUCCUAAUUUGUGUUUGAAGUUAUAGACUCUUCUCAAUAUAUUAAAAUUCCUCCCUCAAAUUCUCUAGAAAUGGUCCCACAUUUCUAGAAUAUGCCACAGGACUUUCUGUUUGCUGUCUGAUCUCUCUGCCACUAUAUGAGUAUGUAAAAAAACUGAGGCAAAAUUGGCUCUGCCUGCCAUAUUUCUGUGAUAUAGGGGACCCUGACUGCAACAAAAUCAGAGAAAUUCCUGCCACACAGAUACAAGAAUGGGGAAGCACAGUGUUGGGGAUAAUAUUCUUUCCCAUUAAUGAAAAUUAAAUUGUUUUACAGCUGAAUCCCACUUAUGUUUAUGCUGAAGGGCCUCAAUAUAGGUAAAAACUCAGGCAUUAUGUAAACUGCUGAAACACCUGUUACAGUAAUUUUUCAUUUUACUCAAAUCUGUAAAGUUUUUCCACUUACCUUUCUUUCUAUUCAGAUACUUUGGGAUAUAUGGCAGGUGAAGGCUUUUGAAAUAGAGUGAGAUCUUAUUUAAAGCAGGUACACACACUUCCUACACAAACAACCUCCUUUUUUCCAUGUGAAAAGAAAUGUUUUGUCAAAAUUUGCAGCCAGUACCUUGUGUUUACAUGUGUUACACUUUCAGGGCAUCAAAUGAUGAUCAGCAGGGUAAGGCUGGAGAGGACAGAACCUUUCUUUCUGCUGCAGAACAUUCUGAUGGGGUGUAAGACAGGGAGGAAACAUGGGGACUUCUGAGGAGGUCUGUGCUCUACAGGUAGGACUCACCAUCCUCUGACCAGCAGCAGAAUGCUUAUGCAGAGGAUGAAAACCACUGUUUAGGGUAGAUGGAGCCAAGCUAGAAUCUACCAGGAGCAUAUUGUGGUGUGUGUGUUCUGCUACUUCAUUAGCAGCACUCAGUGUUCCUUCAGUGCUCUGACCCUUGAUGGCCUUUGAGUAUGAGACUGUUUGCAGUGUUUUGCCUCGUCUGCUCCUUCCUUAUCAGGUGGCCUGUAGCAGACACCCACCAUAAUGUCAGCCAGCAUGGGAUGCCCUCUGGUCCUGGCCCAUAUGCUGCCAACUGUCUUGUCACCUGUGCCAAGGCACAGACAGCUCCAGGGGCCCCAGUUGCUCUCUCACAUAAAGGGCAGCUCUCCCUCCUUGAUGUCCUGGCCUGUCCUCCCUGUAGAGCUGGAUCCAUGCAGAGCAGCCCUCCAUGGCAGCUGAACAUCCCCCUCCUGAUCCUACCAAGCUAGUGCAUCACAUAUCUGUGGUGCCAGCGAGAUCAUAGCCCAUCCCAGCACCUUUAUUGCCUCCUGUUUGUCAUCUGUAGUGGACAGACACUUCCUGGGGACCAUUAUGAACCACCAUGAGCCAGCAUUAAGACCUGCCCCAGCACCCUGGUUACACUGCCCUGCACUUGUGUGAGCCCAGCUGCCUGUUGAUGUGGUGUUUCACAGGUGUACCAAGUGCAUAGAAUUUAGCAAAACUGUGACCUGAGCCCUCUGCCUGGCACUUAUUAGCAGCAGGCUCAGCCCUCAGCACUGCCUGGUGCAUACUAACAACUUGUUUUCAUCCUUCCAGGGCACGGGAACUGCCUGGCAUCCUCAACCAUUCCUCGUUUGGCUGCUCAGGGUGCUGGGGCAGCCCUCGGGGUUUUGGGAGGUUACAGGUGAUCACAUUUACAAGAGGCAAAAAAAAGAAAAUAUCACUUGUUCAGAAGAUUCUUCACAGGAUUUGUGAUAACUCUCCAAAUUCUGAAGCCUGCUGAAAUUUUCCUUGACAGCCUAAACCAGAAUGUGCAGUUCAACCUGAGGCAUUCAAAGUGGAAAGCAGCAGCUGUGAGCACUCAGCAUUUUCACCAGAAGGAGAAGGAGCUGUUCCCUACCCAAAGUGUCUGGUUCAGUUUGCUGAAAGGGUGUCAGCAAAUUAACAUCACCUCUAUAGGUGAAUGGACAUUUGGUCAGGGUUAGUCUGGUAAGGAGAGGAAUGAGAAAGGCUGGCACUGAACAGGAGUAUUCAAGCCUGCACACUGCUGGGAGGAGGUGCUGAGUAACAUUUUAGCCUGUCUGAAUCUGUCCAAAUUGCUAUCACACUGUAUUAUGGUUCUUUAUUAUCAGCUAGAAAUUCUUCUCACGAUGUCUGUAGUUAACAAAUAUAUGUGACUGUUGUCAAUUGAAGUAAUAAUGGUGGAACUGGAAAACACUUUUUUAAAAUGAAAAGUUGUAAAAUGGUGCUAAGACUACAGUAUAAUGGGAUUACUUUCAUGACAAUUACAGACUGUGAAUUAUAAAUGAGAAAAUAAUAGAAAAACCUUUUUUUUUAAUGGAAAAUGUAAUAAAUGAGAGGGAAGCCUAGUUUCUCAUUGAUCCUUUUCCCAGAGAUCACUCAGGAAACCUCUCAUGCAAAACAAUCUAUCUUUGAAGAUGCAGUUUGUGUAUGUUCAGUCUCUGCAAGUUCCUCACAGAUACAGCAGAGUGGAUCCAUAUUGUUACUUGCUCUUGGGCUUAUCUCCAUCCAGACUUGAAACCCUGCUUAGAAUAUAUCCUGCCUUCACACUAUGGAUUCAUGCCUCGGCUAUAUUGGUGUCCUAAGCUAACCUCUGAAAUGUUGGCUCUCUGGACCAUCAUGGAAUGGAGUCAAUAAUGUUUUUGCCUUAUCAAAGCAUUUAUAAAGCCUGAUUUUUCUAGACAGCUGGGUGGUGUAAUAUUCAGUAGUCUAAUCAAGUUUCUUCAUCUACCAUCAGUCUUUACUGUGAUCUUAGCCCAUGUAAUUUGAUUAGUCAUUUAUAACUUUAGUACCUAAUAUAUUAAAAAUGGCAGUGAGCUGAAAGCACUGGAAAUAUUCACAAGAACCAGAAAAGCAGACUGGGAGCUGUGGGCCUUUUGUAACUGCUGACAUAUCCUGAGAGGCCCUUACACUGCAUUUAUCCAGUACUUUUGAGCUCUUGCUUUAUGUUAAAAUAAAUAAGUAAGUAAAGCUCUUAUCUUUAAGCUUGUUGCUUUUUUUUUUAUCAGGGAAAGUUUUAAUGAGAAAGUUUAACUCAUCAGUGUUAAGUUUUCUACUAAUUACGUGAAAGUGAUUUUUCCUCUGCAGGCAGGUUCUGUUAUCUGGCACUCCUGAGCUAAUGGGUUACAUCCAUGGAUGGUGCUACCCUGCUUUAGUCUUUGGGGAAAAAAAAAGAAAAAAAAGUUCUAAGAAGUUAUUGAUUAGCUAAAUAGACACUUCAGAGCUCCAUACUGCUUCUGUAAUUCCAGAAUUGGGAUAGAUAUGCUCAGCCUUUUGGCUAUAAUAUAUGCUGCUUCAGUGGCAAGAUGAUUUAUCAUUGAAAAUAAUAUAUUUGACAACAUAAGUGAGUGGUCUAGGUCAUACCUAGUAACUUAAGCAUGUGGUUUUGAUCCUUGUUAUAUAAAAAACCAAACCAAAUCUAGUUAGGAGAUCAGCAUUCAUUCCUGGCACACUGGCUAUUUUUGCAUGCUGGCUGUUUUUCAUUUUACAGGCCUAUCAUGAGCUGAGAUUGAAGUCACUUUUUUUCCCUACUGAGUGAAUAAAUUACAAGUCCUGGAGCAGUGCUGUAAUUCUUGGCUAUAACAUCUAUGAGAUAUGUUUAAACUGAAUGAUCCACUGCUCAGAGGAGUGAUGGCUUCUUUUAUAGCCUUCUGGUUUUGUAGACAGUAAACCAUUGAAAUAGACCAUGAACAGAAGGGCAGGUUCACCAUAUUGUCAUCUUUUCUGGAGGCUUGCAUGUACUUUUGUCUCUUCUGUGGGGCUCCUUACACCUCACACGUUCAGGAAUAACUAGCAGUGGUAUUUUUUCUUCAGUCUGUAUUUUGAAUAUUAAAACUGAUAAUUACCAGGCAAGUUUGUGCAUCUCUUUGAAGAAGAUACAAGUAUGUAUCUGCUUCAAACUCACAUGUAGCCUGUGUGUAUCAAACCCUUUUUUAUACAUGUUAUUGUUCCUUCCAGUAGGUCUUUCUCCAUCUGCCCAGAGAACGUUUAUCUGCUUCCAGACAGGCUCUACACUUCCUACCUCCUAUUUAUACAAUCGCCUUGUAAAUGCAGAGCAUUAUUGUAUAGAGAAAGCACAGCUUUCUCACCGACUUUAUGACUGAAAAUUGCACUUAUUGUAAUUUUUCUUCUCUCCUGCCCUUGAAAGAUCCAGCAAUAUCAUUUUAUCCAUUAUGCGACUUUCUUACUUGACAUUCCUUUGUCAUUGCUCUAAAACCAGGCACAAAGAACUGAAAAAGGCUGGGAUGUAUGGGAAAGGAGGGGCCAGGAUUGUUCCACACAGAUCACAAAAAGAUGUGCAGGGGAAGGUGACUGUGCUUGAAAACCCCCACCCCAGACUUUACUGGGUUGCUGCUAGUUGAGUAGUGUGCUUUAGAAGUUUGUGUGAUAAACUGUUUUCACGUAUUUAAAUGUAAUGUCUGCCUAGGUACUGAUUUUAUUUUCCUGUUUAAUUUAUUCUCCAGAUUCUCCGGCCUUCAGUCAAUGCACUGGCUGAUUAAAUUAUUAUCCCAAUAAUGAGAUUUGACACGAUCUAUUCCAGUUACCUGUGUGACCUGCUAAGUAGGUUAAUUGGCAACCCUGAAUAAUUAUCAGCCACCUCAUCUUGCUGAUUGAGAGUCUACCAAUAAAUGAAACAUUAAAAUGCUGAAAAAGACACACGGUUUUUAAUUUCAACUUCUGAAUUUUUUCAAAGAAACCUUUUAGCUAUUAGCUUAUUAAUAAAAUACAGCAAUUUAAAAAAUACCUCGUGAACAUACUGUUUUUAUUAACAUAUAGAUGUUUGCUCUUGUGCAUCUUCACAGCUUCCUAGGAGAAAAAGAACUCAGUGACAUAUUAGAUAAACAGGUUCCUCUAUUCUGCAAAUUGCGUGUAUAACUGAAUAGUUGCAUCCUCAGAGAGCCAGUUCAAAAGUGAAGAAAAUUCAAGAAGUCAAAGUGAUAUUUGUGGUGACAUUGCAAGACUUAUGUUUUAAUGCCUUUCUGUGAAACCUUGAGAACUAGAAAUUAACUUUAUUGUUCAGUGAAAGCUGUGAUUUUUCUAUUCCCAUUUCUCGGGAAACAAAGUUAAGAAAAAUAAAUAUGGUACCUUGUGACUCUGA